GCAUCACGGAUGACGAGACGGGCGAGCAGCUCACGGGCGAGCUCGACAUCUUCGGCAACCCGUGGGACCCGUACACCUACUCGACGAACAGCCUGAGCGGCAAGAGCUGGUCCGGCGGCUACUACAACGGCGUCGAGUACACCGGCGGCGACUGGAGCGGCAAGUCGUGGUCCGGCAAGAGCUGGUCCGGGAAGUCCUGGAGCGGCAAGAGCUGGAGCGGCAAGAGCUGGUCCGGAGCCGUGUACCUCGGGAAGUCGUGGUCCGGGAAGAGCUGGAGCGGCAAGUCGUGGUCCGGCAAGAGCUGGAGCGGGAAGUCCUGGUCCGGCAAGAGCUGGAGCGGCAAGUCGUGGUCCGGCAAGAGCUGGUCCAGCUUCUCGUAC
rnacentral:misc_RNA from 1 species